UACGGGGGGGGGCAAGCGUUGUUCGGAAUUACUGGGCGUAAAGGGCUCGUAGGUGGCCAACUAAGUCAGACGUGAAAUCCCUCGGCUUAACCGGGGAACUGCGUCUGAUACUGGAUGGCUUGAGUUCGGGAGAGGGAUGCGGAAUUCCAGGUGUAGCGGUGAAAUGCGUAGAUAUCUGGAGGAACACCGGUGGCGAAGGCGGCAUCCUGGACCAACACUGACGCUGAGGAGCGAAAGCCAGGGGAGCAAAGCGGG
rnacentral:rRNA from 1 species